rnacentral:rRNA from 1 species
GAGUUUGAUCCUGGCUCAGGACGAACGCUGGCGGCGCGCCUAACACAUGCAAGUCGAACGGAGCUUAGAGAGCUUGCUUUUUAAGCUUAGUGGCGAACGGGUGAGUAACGCGUGAGUAACCUGCCCUAGAGUGGGGGACAACAGUUGGAAACGACUGCUAAUACCGCAUAAGCCCACGGUACCGCAUGGCACUGAGGGAAAAGGAUUUAUUCGCUUUAGGAUGGACUCGCGUCCAAUUAGCUAGUUGGUGAGGUAACGGCCCACCAAGGCGACGAUUGGUAGCCGGACUGAGAGGUUGAACGGCCACAUUGGGACUGAGACACGGCCCAGACUCCUACGGGAGGCAGCAGUGGGGGAUAUUGCACAAUGGGGGAAACCCUGAUGCAGCGACGCCGCGUGGAGGAAGAAGGUCUUCGGAUUGUAAACUCCUGUUGUUGGGGAAGAUAAUGACGGUACUCAACAAGGAAGUGACGGCUAACUACGUGCCAGCAGCCGCGGUAAUUC